rnacentral:rRNA from 1 species
GACGAACGCUGGCGGCGUGCUUAACACAUGCAAGUCGAGCGGUAAGGCCCUUUCGGGGGUACACGAGCGGCGAACGGGUGAGUAACACGUGGGUGACCUGCCUUUAGCUCUGGGAUAAGCCUGGGAAACUGGGUCUAAUACCGGAUAUGACCCUAUGGCGCAUGUUGUGGGGUGGAAAGCCUUGUGCGGCUAGGGAUGGGCCCGCGGCCUAUCAGCUUGUUGGUGGGGUGAUGGCCUACCAAGGCGACGACGGGUAGCCGGCCUGAGAGGGCGACCGGCCACACUGGGACUGAGACACGGCCCAGACUCCUACGGGAGGCAGCAUGGGGAAUCUUGCGCAAUGGGCGAAAGCCUGACGCAGCGACGCCGCGUGAGGGAUGACGGCCU